rnacentral:lncRNA from 1 species
AAUCAUUGAUAGAUGGUCCCUUGGUUGAUUCAAUCUUCUUUAAUUCAAUAUGUUGAUAGAUGAUCAUUUGAUCAUAUUUUUGACACUUUGAGUUAGUGAUAGUUUAUCCCUUGGUGUAGUAUAUGUUUGAGUCCUUUGACUUGUUAUUAGAUGAUCUCAAUGUGGUGACUUGAAUUUUCCUUCUAACAUCUAACACCUAACAUCCAACUUCUAAACCUCUAACACUUUAAACUCUUGCAACUUUUAUUCUUGCAAUUUACUUUUAUGUCUCAUUCAUCAUCCCAC